UACGUAGGUGGCAAGCGUUAUCCGGAUUUAUUGGGCGUAAAGGGAACGCAGGCGGUCUUUUAAGUCUGAUGUGAAAGCCUUCGGCUUAACCGGAGUAGUGCAUUGGAAACUGGGAGACUUGAGUGCAGAAGAGGAGAGUGGAACUCCAUGUGUAGCGGUGAAAUGCGUAGAUAUAUGGAAGAACACCAGUGGCGAAAGCGGCUCUCUGGUCUGUAAUUGACGCUGAGGUUCGAAAGCGUGGGUAGCAAACAGG
rnacentral:rRNA from 1 species